GAUGAACGCUGGCGGCGUGCCUAAUACACGCAAGUCGAGCGAAUGGAUUAAGAGCUCGCCCUUAUGAAGUUAGCGGCGGACGGGUGAGUAACGCGUGGGUAACCUGCCCAUAAGACUGGGAUAACUCCGGGAAACCGGGGCUAAUACCGGAUAACAUUUUGAACCGCAUGGUUCGAAAUUGAAAGGCGGCUUCGGCUGUCACUUAUGGAUGGACCCGCGUCGCAUUAGCUAGUUGGUGAGGUAACGGCUCACCAAGGCAACGAUGCGUAGCCGACCUGAGAGGGUGAUCGGCCACACUGGGACUGAGACACGGCCCAGACUCCUACGGGAGGCAGCAGUAGGGAAUCUUCCGCAAUGGACGAAAGUCUGACGGAGCAACGCCGCGUGAGUGAUGAAGGCUUUCGGGUCGUAAAACUCUGUUGUUAGGGAAGAACAAGUGCUAGUUGAAUAAGCUGGCACCUUGACGGUACCUAACCAGAAAGCCACGGCUAACUACGUGCCAGCCGCCGCGGUAA
rnacentral:rRNA from 1 species